rnacentral:tRNA from 1 species
UCAGAAGGUAGUUUAUAUAUUAAAAUAUUAGUUUUGGAGACUAAAGAAGGGAGCAUCUCUAUUCUGAA